rnacentral:rRNA from 1 species
GACAGUACCUAUGCCACUUGCAGUUCGGCUUAGCUAAUCCACCUAAAAAUAAGCAGGUUUGGGCCUGGUCAGUACUUGGAUGGGAGACCAACUAGGAAAGUGGAUAGGGGUUGGAU